AUUCGGAAAGUCUAUAAUCACAUGGCAAAAUCAAAUAACAAAACGCAUCAAAAACGAAUGGACAAGAACUGUCAUAUUCCUGACUUGGUACAGGCAUUUUCAAAUGUAGAAAAUGGUGGAUUGAACCUGGUUUUAUAGCUAGCUAAACCUCUCACUUGUAUGACAGUCCCAUCAAAUUACAUUAUAUUGUCACCGAUGCGUGAACAAAACAAACAGACACAUUAGUUAAAAAUGCCAAAAAUAG
rnacentral:lncRNA from 1 species